ACGAACGCUGGCGGCGUGCCUAAUCCAUGCAAGUAGGACGCUGAAGAGAGGAGCUUGCUCUUCUUGGAUGAGUUGCGAACGGGUGAGUAACGCGUAGGUAACCUGCCUUGUAGCGGGGGAUAACUAUUGGAAACGAUAGCUAAUACCGCAUAACAAUGGAUGACACAUGUCAUUUAUUUGAAAGGGGCAAUUGCUCCACUACAAGAUGGACCUGCGUUGUAUUAGCUAGUAGGUGAGGUAACGGCUCACCUAGGCGACGAUACAUAGCCGACCUGAGAGGGUGAUCGGCCACACUGGGACUGAGACACGGCCCAGACUCCUACGGGAGGCAGCAGUAGGGAAUCUUCGGCAAUGGGGGCAACCCUGACCGAGCAACGCCGCGUGAGUGAAGAAGGUUUUCGGAUCGUAAAGCUCUGUUGUAAGUCAAGAACGAGUGUGAGAGUGGAAAGUUCACACUGUGACGGUAGCUUACCAGAAAGGGACGGCUAACUACGUG
rnacentral:rRNA from 1 species